AGUUUUCAAACGUUGGCCAUCCUGAUUUGUACUUAAAUAAAUGACAGUUCCUUUGACAGUUCUCUUUCGAAGCAAGCGACGCGACGCCAUCGUUGAAGAGCAUUUUUUAACGACUUGAAAUUGUGUCUGUGUGCUAAUUGUGUAUUAUAAUUUGAAUUAUUAUUGUAUUUAUAGUCUUAUCUGUUUUGUUGAAAGAAGUUUUCAUAGUGUACACAAAGCGUUUAGUUUUUCAAGAUGAGUUACGGUAGGCCUCCGCCCCGUAUUGACGGCAUGGUGUCUCUCAAAGUUGAUAAUUUAACUUAUCGCACCACUCCCGAUGAUUUAAGGAGGGUUUUCGAACGAUGUGGAGAAGUAGGAGAUAUUUAUAUUCCUAGGGAUCGAUUUACAAGGGAAAGCCGUGGAUUUGCUUUUGUUAGAUUUUUCGACAAGAGAGAUGCCGAGGAUGCGUUGGAAGCUAUGGAUGGUCGCAUGUUAGAUGGAAGGGAGUUGAGAGUUCAGAUGGCAAGAUACGGUAGACCUACUUCACCACAUAGACGGUACAGGGGAGGUAGAAGACGUUCUAGAUCUCGUGGUCGCCGAGGAAGUCGUUCAAGGUCAAGGGGAAGAAGAUCUGCCAGUAGAAGCCGUUCCCGUUCAGGAAGCAAAAGUUCAAGGGGAGGUUCUCGUUCUCCAUCUCGCGAUAAUGCUCGAUCAAGAUCAAGAAGCAAAUCCAGAUCUAGAUCUAGAAGCUAAACUGUGCAGAGUGGAAGGUGCACUGGAGUAGAGUAAUGCUGUAGGCACCUGCUCUGAAAAGCAGGCGCAGCGUGCGGGGGGUGGCAGUGUGUUGGCGGUGAUUGCGGAUAUGGUGGCGUUAUGAGAGAGGAGAGAGAGCGGAGAGCUGUUGUGUACCUGAGCCAGUUGCGCGUCUAUUGGCUGUAUUGACGGCGUGCUGUAGCGGCCCAGCUAAUCGAUGAUCGCGCUGAUCCGGAUGUGCUGCGGCGUGCCGUACUAUGUAGCUGCUCUCCAUCUCAAGCCGGACCUUAUCGAAACCGCGCACGUUAGCUUGGUUGGCACUAUUGGGGCGAAUCUUAAACAAAACCGCAAUGGUUGCGUUAGCUUUUUACUAGUACAGAUAAUGGGUAAUUGUAUGUAUAACUAGACUAAAAAACGUCUAUACCUAUGUGGGGGAUUAAUACUUUUAUAACAACUGUUUCAAAAAAAAAUAUUUUUUUCUUAAUUAUAUCGAAAAUGUUGGAAAUGCCGAAAAAAAAAUCUGUGAAAGUUUAAGCUCUUUAAUAUUAAUAUUAAGAGGAAAUUUUCAUUUGAUUAACAUGAGGAUUUUUUCCCGACUUUAUAAUUUUUUAACUCUUGAACGAGUUUUCUGAUUAGUUUGGACGAAACAUACAUAUUCUUGUAGAGAAUUGAAAGCGCUACAAAAAGGGUCUCUUACAAUUUUUUGAUACAUUUAUUGGUUUCAAAGUUAUUUAAAGUUAAUGAUAAAUUUUAAUAUUUUCCAUGACACAACUAUUAAAGCUGCAUUCAGAACCUCGCAAUUAGUGGAAUAAAUUAAUGGUUUCAAUUACACUUUAUACUUUUUAGUUUAUGUUCAAUCACAAUGUCUAAAAAAC
rnacentral:misc_RNA from 1 species